CGGGCGGCUUCCCCGGAACAGCGAGGCGCAGCGACAGACUCGGAGCUCCCAGCGUCUGCCCGUGCGCCGGUGAAGCGCCCUUGCGAUGUACCCAUGCAGACCUUCUGACUCAGGUCCAUGGCCUGACCUGUAUCCACAUUGCAAAAUGACAGGACCUCAGCCCAAGCCACAGAGGGACUUGGGCUAAGACCCACCCCCUGGAUGAGUCCCAGAACUCAGGUCCUGAGUGCUUGCUGAGGUCAGUGCUCCAACAUCGUCUGGAAAGUAAUAGCUGGUGCCGCUGUGGCUGUGGCUGUGGUUGAGGCUGUGGUUAUUUUGACAGUGCUCAAUUCCAAACUGAUUUUGGUAGCUGCUAUGUCAAAUUAUUGGAGCUGGUAACCAAAGCUUAUGCUACAUGAAAGCAACUCGGAAUUGCACUGGGGGUACCUGGGUAUGACUGAGAUCGGAAUUUGGUCCCUGUCUCUUGCUUCAUUUUCUUCAGUGUAUUCACUUUUCUGUCCCAUCUGAUGCUUUCUUUUGUACCACUUUUUUUCUUUUCUUUCCCUUUCAUUAGCUACUUUCUUUCUCUCUCACGUUACUCUUUACUCUCCACUCUGCUGCUUCAUUUUCUUUUUCCUUCUAGUUUUAGAAGUAAACUGCAAAAGGAAAAUAAGGGGCAUGGGCACUUUAUUCCCUGCUGCAUUAUGAUUUAUAAAGAAUGACUGAGAUUAUUUUUAAAUGGGUUUGUUCUGGGUUUUUUUUUUUGUUUGUUUAAAUUAAAACUUCAGAUCUUGCCUUCUCGGUAAAACACUGUAAACUCUGUGCACAAGAUAUGUUGCCAGAGGAAUAACUUAAAAAAAUGUUGUUGUUUUUUUUCUGGGUUUUUGCUUUUUUCUGGGUUUUUGUAUGUCAUAAGAAACUAAAGACAACUUCCCCGCCCUUUUCUUUGCAUGUCACCUUUAACCAGUAUUUCCUGUCCCUUCUUCCUCACUCCAUGCUCCCUCCUCCUCCUCUGCUGUAAAUGUUGUGUUCAGAGGAAAACCAAAAGCUACUUUCCUUCUCCUUUAGUCUGUGAGAAGACAAAUCAAGACUUAACUGCAGCUCCAAGUUGCCAAAUGCAGCAUUUUGUUCUUUCUGCAUCCUGUGUGCAGCGCAGAGGGAAUGACUGUCACUUCAACCGCCUGCAGAGAGCAGCACUGCUACUAGCUUCAGAAGAAGAGGGAGCACCAUGCCAUUGACUUGCUGUCUUCUGGCCUUAGGGAAAAUGACUUGCCCUUCUGUCUAAAUUUCCCCAUCUACAAAAUGGAGAUAAUAUUCGCCCGCCUUCUGAGGGUUGUGAGGAUUAAUAGCAUUUUUUUAUAAAUAGUGCUUUAUAAGUAUUCUGAAAAAUCAGGCACUGUUAUUCUGGAAUAAGAACAUCCGUACAUGGAGUUAAUCAGGAAUAGCUAUUUUGGAAUAACUCCCUGUGAAGACAAGCUCUUACUUGGAUUUUUGAAGCUAUCACACACUAGUGCUUUACACCCUAUAGAAAGAGGAAUCACUUCUCCCACCAGUGAAAUGCAGCUAUCACUGUAAGUAGUAUGUGGCAGCUGUUUAACAGAACACAACAACAUUGCAGAAAAUUCGGGACAGAAAGUGGGUCUAUCUUUUUAUGUUUUUCAUACCACAACUUAUCACUGGGGUAGCAGAGCCCCUUGUGAAGAUCAUUGUGUCCUUUUGAAUCUAGAAAGGUAAGCUGAUUGCACCAGGUGCUUAUUCCAGUUUAGUUUGUCCAGGAAAACUGGCAUUCUAAAACUUCAGCUGGAAUUUCAAUGACACUCAGAUUGAGGUUUAGUGAUAUUCAGCUGUUCUGCUCUAUCUCAGCAGCCUGUAAUCUAAUGGCUAAGGAGAAUGUAACAUGUCUUAGAAUGUGACUUGGCUGUUUGACUUAUGUCUCCCAGGAACUUUCUCUCCAAAGGUCAGGCAGUGUCCAGAAGAAUGGAUAUGUUUUGGAGGGAACGGGUAUUCUUUUUCCACCGAUACAAAGA